UACGAAGGGUGCAAGCGUUACUCGGAAUUACUGGGCGUAAAGCGUGCGUAGGCGGUUUGUUAAGUCCGUUGUGAAAGCCCUGGGCUCAACCUGGGAAUUGCAGUGGAUACUGGCGAGCUAGAGUGCGGUAGAGGAUGGUGGAAUUCCCGGUGUAGCGGUGAAAUGCGUAGAGAUCGGGAGGAACACCCGUGGCGAAGGCGGCCAUCUGGACCAGCACUGACGCUGAGGCAUGAAAGCGUGGGGAGCAAACCGG
rnacentral:rRNA from 1 species